rnacentral:rRNA from 1 species
CCUUGACAUACUAAGAACUUUCCAGGAGAUGGAUUGGUGCCUUCGGGAACUUAGAUACAGGUGCUGCAUGGCUGUCGUCAGCUCGUGUCGUGAGAUGUUGGGUUAAGUCCCGNAACGAGCGCAACCCUUUUCCUUAUUUGCCAGCGGGUCAUGCCGGGAACUUUAAGGAUACUGCCAGUGACAAACUGGAGGAAGGCGGGGACGACGUCAAGUCAUCAUGGCCCUUACGGCCAGGGCUACACACGUGCUACAAUGGUCGGUACAAAGGGUUGCUACCUCGCGAGAGGAUGCUAAUCUCAAAAAGCCGAUCGUAGUCCGGAUCGCAGUCUGCAACUCGACUGCGUGAAGUCGGAAUCGCUAGUAAUCGCGGAUCAGAAUGCCGCGGUGAAUACGUUCCCGGGCCUUGUACACACCGCCCGUCACACCAUGGGAGUUUGUUGCACCAGAAGUAGGUAGUCUAACCGCAAGGAGGACGCUUACCACGGUGUGGCCGAUGACUGGGGUGAAGUCGUAACAAGGUAAGCGUAGAUGA